rnacentral:rRNA from 1 species
UGAGGAAUAUUGGUCAAUGGGCGAGAGCCUGAACCAGCCAAAUCGCGUGAAGGAAGACUGCCUUAUGGGUUGUAAACUUCUUUUAUACAGGAAUAAAAAAGGGGACGUGUCCCUUAUUGCAUGUACUGUAUGAAUAAGCAUCGGCUAACUCCGUGCCAGCAGCCGCGGUAAUACGGAGGAUGCGAGCGUUAUCCGGAUUUAUUGGGUUUAAAGGGUGCGCAGGCGGGCUUUUAAGUCAGCGGUGAAAUCUCGGGGCUUAACUCCGAAACUGCCGUUGAAACUGGGAGUCUUGAGUAUGGAUGAAGUAGGCGGAAUUCGUUGUGUAGCGGUGACAUGCUUAGAUAUAACGAGGAACUCCGAUUGCGUAGGCAGCUUACUAAGCCAUAACUGACGCUCAAGCACGAAAGCGUGGGGAUCAAAACAGGAUUGGAUACCCUGGUAGUCCACGCCGUAAACGAUGAUUACUAGUUGUAUGCGAUAUACCGUAUGUGACUAAGCG